rnacentral:rRNA from 1 species
AGAGUUUGAUCCUGGCUCAGAAUCAACGCUGGCGGCGCGCCUAACACAUGCAAGUCGAACGAGAAAGCAGGAGCAAUCUUGUGAGUAAAGUGGCGUACGGGUGAGUAACACGUGGAUUAUCUACCCUCUUGUGGGGGAUAACCCUGGGAAACUAGGGCUAAUACCGCAUAAGUCCGAGAGGAGAAAGCAGCAAUGCGCAGGAGGAGGAGUCCGCGGCCGAUUAGCUAGUUGGUAGGGUAAAAGCCUACCAAGGCUACGAUCGGUAGCCGGCCUGAGAGGGCACACGGCCACACUGGCACUGAAACACGGGCCAGACUCCUACGGGAGGCAGCAGUGGGGAAUCUUGCACAAUGGGGGCAACCCUGAUGCAGCGACGCCGCGUGAGCGAUGAAGCCCUUCGGGGUGUAAAGCUCUUUCGGCAGGGAAGAUUAUGACGGUACCUGCAGAAGCAGCUGCGGCUAACUACGUGCCAGCAGCCGCGGUAAUACGUAGGCAGCAAGCGUUGUUCGGAGUUACUGGGCGUAAAGGGUGUGUAGGCGGUUCUCUAAGUCUGGUGUGAAAUCUCCCGGCUCAACUGGGAGGGUGCGCCGAAAACUGGAGGGCUAGAGUGCGGGAUGGGAGAGUGGAAUUCCUGGUGUAGCGGUGAAAUGCGUAGAUAUCAGGAGGAACACCUGUGGUGUAGACGGCUCUCUGGACCGCAACUGACGCUGAAACACGAAAGCGUGGGUAGCAAACAGGAUUAGAUACCCUGGUAGUCCACGCCCUAAACGAUGCAUAUUUGGUGUGGGCCAUUCAUUUGGUCUGUGCCGGAGCUAACGCGUUAAAUAUGCCGCCUGGGGAGUACGGUCGCAAGGCUGAAACUCAAAGGAAUUGACGG